AGAGUUUGAUCCUGGCUCAGGAUGAACGCUGGCGGCGUGCUUAACACAUGCAAGUCGAACGAAGCGCGCGGAAGGAAGGCCUUCGGGCCGGAGAGCCGCGGGACUGAGUGGCGGACGGGUGAGUAACGCGUGGGCAACCUGCCCCGUACAGGGGGAUAACAGCCGGAAACGGCUGCUAAUACCGCAUAAGCGCACAGCGCCGCAUGGCGCGGUGUGAAAAGCUCCGGCGGUACGGGAGGGGCCCGCGUCUGAUUAGGCAGUUGGCGGGGCAGCGGCCCACCAAACCGACGAUCAGUAGCCGGCCUGAGAGGGUGGACGGCCACACUGGGACUGAGACACGGCCCAGACUCCUACGGGAGGCAGCAGUGGGGGAUAUUGCACAAUGGGGGGAACCCUGAUGCAGCGACGCCGCGUGGGUGAAGGAGCGUUUCGGCGCGUAAAGCCCUAUCGGCAGGGAAGAAGAUGACGGUACCUGACCAAGAAGCCCCGGCUAACUACGUGCCAGCAGCCGCGGUAAUACGUAGGUGGCGAGCGUUAUCCGGAAUGAUUGGGCGUAAAGGGUGCGCAGGCGGUCCUGCAAGUCUGGAGUGAAACGCAUGAGCUCAACUCAUGCAUGGCUUUGGAAACUGGAGGACUGGAGAGCAGGAGAGGGCGGUGGAACUCCAUGUGUAGCGGUAAAAUGCGUAGAUAUAUGGAAGAACACCAGUGGCGAAGGCGGCCGCCUGGCCUGUUGCUGACGCUGAGGCACGAAAGCGUGGGGAGCAAAUAGGAUUAGAUACCCUAGUAGUCCACGCCGUAAACGAUGAGGACCAAGUGUUGGGGGUGAAACCUCAGUGCUGAAGUUAACGCAGUGAGUCCUCCGCCUGGGGAGUAUGCACGCAAGUGUGAAACUCAAAGGAAUUGACGGGGGCCCGCACAAGCGGUGGAGUAUGUGGUUUAAUUCGAAGCAACGCGAAGAACCUUACCAGGCCUUGACAUGGGAUGCGAAGAUGCAGAGAUGCAUCGGAGGUCAACAUCCACACAGGUGGUGCAUGGUUGUCGUCAGCUCGUGUCGUGAGAUGUUGGGUCAAGUCCCGCAACGAGCGCAACCCUUAUUGCUAGUUGCCAGCAUUAAGUUGGGCACUCUAGCAAGACUGCCGGUGACAAACCGGAGGAAGGUGGGGAUGACGUCAAAUCAUCAUGCCCCUUAUGACCUGGGCUACACACGUGCUACAAUGGACGGUACAACGAGUCGCAAGACCGCGAGGUUUAGCAAAUCUCUUAAAGCCGUUCUCAGUUCGGAUUGUAGGCUGCAACUCGCCUACAUGAAGUCGGAAUCGCUAGUAAUCGCGGAUCAGCAUGCCGCGGUGAAUACGUUCCCGGGCCUUGUACACACCGCCCGUCAAG
rnacentral:rRNA from 1 species